AUUGAACGCUGGCGGCAUGCCUUACACAUGCAAGUCGAACGGCAGCACGGGUUCUUGCCCCUGGUGGCGAGUGUCGAACGGGUGAGUAAUACAUCGGGACAUGUCCUGUAGUGGGGGAUAGCCCGGCGAAAGCCGGAUUAAUACCUCAUACGAUCUACGGAUGAAAGCGGGUUACCUUCCAGCCUCGCGCUAUAGGCUUGGCCGAUGUCUGAUUAGCUAGUUGGUGGGGUAAAGGCCUACCAAGGCGACGAUCAGUAGCUGGUCUGAGAGGACGACCAGCCACACUGGGACUGAGACACGGCCCAGACUCCUACGGGAGGCAGCAGUGGGGAAUUUUGGACAAUGGGCGAAAGCCUGAUCCAGCAAUGCCGCGUGUGUGAAGAAGGCCUUCGGGUUGUAAAGAACUUUUGUCCGGAAAGAAAUCCUUGGCCCUAAUACGGUCGGGGGAUGACGGUACCGGAAGAAUAAGCACCGGCUAACUACGUG
rnacentral:rRNA from 1 species